UACAGAGGUCUCAAGCGUUGUUCGGAUUCAUUGGGCGUAAAGGGUGCGUAGGUGGCGCUGUAAGUCGGGUGUGAAAUUUCGGAGCUUAACUCCGAAACUGCAUUCGAUACUGCGGUGCUUGAGGACUGGAGAGGAGACUGGAAUUUACGGUGUAGCGGUGAAAUGCGUAGAUAUCGUAAGGAAGACCAGUGGCGAAGGCGGGUCUCUGGACAGUUCCUGACGCUGAGGCACGAAGGC
rnacentral:rRNA from 1 species